rnacentral:rRNA from 1 species
GACGAACGCUGGCGGCGUGCUUAACACAUGCAAGUCGAACGGAAAGGCCCUGCUUGCAGGGUACUCGAGUGGCGAACGGGUGAGUAACACGUGGGUGAUCUGCCCUGCACUUCGGGAUAAGCCUGGGAAACUGGGUCUAAUACCGGAUAGGAGCCAUUUUUAGUGUGAUGGUUGGAAAGUUUUUUCGGUGUAGGAUGAGCUCGCGGCCUAUCAGCUUGUUGGUGGGGUAAUGGCCUACCAAGGCGGCGACGGGUAGCCGGCCUGAGAGGGUGGACGGCCACAUUGGGAUUGAGAUACGGCCCAGACUCCUACGGGAGGCAGCAGUGGGGAAUAUUGCACAAUGGGCGCAAGCCUGAUGCAGCGACGCCGCGUGGGGGAUGACGGCCUUCGGGUUGUAAACUCCUUUCGCUAGGGACGAAGCUUUUUGCGACGGUACCUAGAGAAGAAGCACCGGCUAACUACGUG